CCACCACACGACAGCCACCACCGCCGCACACCAUAGCCACCGCCGUCAAGCGCGCACACGCAGAGAGAGAGAGCUCACCGAAGUGCUCGACGCGGCGGCGGAAGACGGAAGACGUGCGAGGAAGAAGCUCACAGUAGAUUUGGACAGCCUGACGGCGUGGUUUCAAAUCAACUGGGCGCCAGAGUUAGAAAAAUUUCGAGCGGAGGACCUAGGGUUAUAUACUUGGGGCAUUAGUACAGGUGGUUGGCUAGCCAACCGAGUAGAAACCAUUUCUACAGGCAGCCAGCCGCCAGUACUAAUGCAUUAGUACUGGCGGUUGGCUUAGCCAACCGCCUGUAGAAAUGUAUUUUCAAAUUAUUCAAAGUUUUCCUU
rnacentral:lncRNA from 1 species